CCGAGGGUAGGGUUGCUUGCGAGACGCUUCGGAAGUACUCUGCGGAGAGUGCAUCGGAGCUGCGAACGGUACAAAACACAACGGCACGGUUAAGCCACACGGGAAGGUAAAUGGCAAAACAAUUGAUAUUCUGCUGCACAAAUGGUUGCCAUUCGCCAUUUUCUUCGCCAUUGCUUCCCAUUGCCAGGUUUAGUGAGUUAGAGAAAGCGAAGCGGCGAGGAACGACGAGAUUAAUGUCGGUAACCGAUGGGGCAGCAAUUUAAGUGAUUAAAAAACGGUAAGCAUCAUGGCGAUGGCAUGUUCUGUUGAGGAAGGCUAUUGAAAAGCUGGCGUUUAAAUACACUUAGGUGGGAAUUAAUUGAUGGAAGAAGCUGAAGAUGGAAACGCCUUAACCGGUUGUUUGAUUUAAAAAUUGAACUGUCAAAAAACCGUGUCACUGUGACGCAUCGUGCCCAGAAAGCGUUGGCUGAUGACAAUAAACAAAGCACACUAAUUUGAUACUAACCAAUUACUUCGAAAUUCUAGCCUCAGUACGAGGAGAAGGAAGAUAUAAAUCAACGCACACACAGGCGAGGUGAGAGCAAUUUGUUUCGGUUUUGAAUUUGUUAUCGUUUCCUUCGCGCGGCAUAGAAAACGCCCAUCCUUUAUCGCGAUUCCUUCCCCAUGGUCUUUCUUCGUUGCGGCUAAUCCAACCUUUAAAUUAAAGUAACCGAAAGUGCAGUCGCUGUAGACAUGUAAAACGAGAGUGAGAGAGAUUGGUGUAAAAAGUAACGCAAAAAAUCAAAAAAAGGCCGAAGAACAGACCCGACCAAUAGAUCCUGCUGGUAGAUUAUUUAUAAAAUCACCAAGUCAAUGCAGAAGAAGAAUGCUGCUCGAGUAAACAUAAACGCAUGGGUCACGCUGCUCCCUAGCCUAGCUCAGUGUAGCUCCGUGUUCACAUUGGUUGGGUCGGAGCAGAACUCUCAUUAAAAACGAGUCGCUUCUCCGCCACAUUCAUCGCCAAACUCGACUCGGUACGCUGUGAAGGUACAGCUCUUUUCCUGUAGCGAUAGAUGAAGUGUUCACAUGAGAGCGUGGGAAGAAGUAAACAAUGGUGAUCCUCAUCGAAUAGGGAUGAUGAUGCGUGAGCUAAGAUAUAUGGUGGGACAGUUUACGGUACAGAUCAACUGUCUGAGUUGGACGGUUGGGCGAACAUUAACAGCAAUACGAAUGGGAACAGGUUGCCAUUUCCAAAUCGGAACCCACGCAACCGACGUCGACUAUUGAAGGGAUUGAACACGUCUUAAGGGAACUAGUUUCGUAUAGCUGUUCGGUGUUAGUAUGUAAACCGUGGAUUAGAAUAACUCAAGAACAAUUUUGAGGAUUUAUUUGGUAG